UGCCCCUCCAACCCAAAUAGGGGUCCAAGGAGAAUCCAGCCAGAUUGCCUGCAAAAGAAAGAAGAGGUUAGAGAGAGGUUAGAGAGAGGUCGGCCGGGAAGAUUAACGGACCACCGCCGGAAUCCAUCUCCAGACGAGACUCGUACCAGGAUUGAGGGGCUAUCAAGGCCUACGCACCAUCAAAGCCUAAGAACAUUUCGCGGGGAACAACUCACGCACGGUCUGUGAAGAAGUUUGGCCGAGACCUCAACCCAAAGGCAGAGAUCCGAGGGUCAUCCGAGAACGGUGAGCGAACUUCCGGCGUUCUUAAAUCCUCCGAUAGUCAAGAAAAAAAUUAUAAAAAGAAUA